AUACCCUAUUAUUUUUAUUGUAAAGGAAAAUAAACUGGAGUAUUAAUAGUUAAGAUCUUUAAACUUAAAGAAUUUGACGGUAUUAUAGUCUAUUUAGAGGAAUCUGUUAUGUAAUCGAUAAUCCACGUUGUACCUUACUUAUAUUAUUUUUUGUAUACCUCUGUUUAAGAUUAUACUUUUAGGUAAAAUUUUCUAAAUAUAAUAAUAUUUAAAAUUUCAAGUCAAGGUGCAGUAAUAUAUAAGUUGAAUAAUGGAUUACAAUAAAUUUUAUUUAAAUGAAUUGUUAUUGAAAUAUAAUUAUGAAGGUGGAUUUAAUAGUAAUUUUAUGAAGAUUAUUAAAAUGAUUUUAGCUCUAUAAUAUGUACACAUCGCCC
rnacentral:rRNA from 1 species